rnacentral:rRNA from 1 species
CCUACGGGUGGCUGCAGUGGGGAAUAUUGCACAAUGGGCGCAAGCCUGAUGCAGCCAUGCCGCGUGUGUGAAGAAGGCCUUCGGGUUGUAAAGCACUUUCAGCGGGGAGGAAGGCGGUGAGGUUAAUAACCUCAUCGAUUGACGUUACCCGCAGAAGAAGCACCGGCUAACUCCGUGCCAGCAGCCGCGGUAAUACGGAGGGUGCAAGCGUUAAUCGGAAUUACUGGGCGUAAAGCGCACGCAGGCGGUCUGUCAAGUCGGAUGUGAAAUCCCCGGGCUCAACCUGGGAACUGCAUUCGAAACUGGCAGGCUAGAGUCUUGUAGAGGGGGGUAGAAUUCCAGGUGUAGCGGUGAAAUGCGUAGAGAUCUGGAGGAAUACCGGUGGCGAAGGCGGCCCCCUGGACAAAGACUGGCGCUCAGGUGCGAAAGCGUGGGGAGCAAACAGGAUUAGAUACCCUUGUAGUC